rnacentral:rRNA from 1 species
UAUGGUAUGCCAGCCGCCGCGGUAAUACGUAGGGGGCAAGCGUUAUCCGGAUUUACUGGGUGUAAAGGGAGCGUAGACGGCUGUGCAAGUCUGAAGUGAAAGGCAUGGGCUCAACCUGUGGACUGCUUUGGAAACUGUGCAGCUAGAGUGUCGGAGAGGUAAGUGGAAUUCCUAGUGUAGCGGUGAAAUGCGUAGAUAUUAGGAGGAACACCAGUGGCGAAGGCGGCUUACUGGACGAUGACUGACGUUGAGGCUCGAAAGCGUGGGGAGCAAACAGG